CAGUAGCCACGGGAAUACGAAGGGGGCUAGCGUUGUUCGGAAUUACUGGGCGUAAAGCGCACGUAGGCGGAUAUUUAAGUCAGGGGUGAAAUCCCAGAGCUCAACUCUGGAACUGCCUUUGAUACUGGGUAUCUUGAGUAUGGAAGAGGUGAGUGGAAUUCCGAGUGUAGAGGUGAAAUUCGUAGAUAUUCGGAGGAACACCAGUGGCGAAGGCGGCUCACUGGUCCAUUACUGACGCUGAGGUGCGAAAGCGUGGGGAGCAAACAGGAUUAGAUACCCCUGUAGUCCCUGUCUCUUAUAC
rnacentral:rRNA from 1 species